CAACGUAUCCACGUACCAAACUCUCGAACUGUUCCCAACGGAGCAAACCACUUGUGGAUGAAGUUAAUGGCUGGCUGUCUUUCGCUGAUGGAGUCCACUGACUUUUGUCAGAGGGCUGAAAGGCAUUCAGUCGCCAGAGCUCUGCUUUGGGACUUCGUUUGCUUCGUUGCGGUUUUUUACCGUCAGCAACGUUUUACUAUCAUUAACCCUUUGAACUUCUGAACUGAACUUGAAAGCCUCGCAGCAGUCCUCGCUGGCUUCGGUCACGGACUUUGCAGCUUGGUUUUUCUGAUUUUACGAAACAAAGAAC
rnacentral:misc_RNA from 1 species